UACGGGGGGGGCAAGCGUUGUUCGGAAUUACUGGGCGUAAAGGGCUCGUAGGCGGCCAACUAAGUCAGACGUGAAAUCCCCAGGCUUAACCUGGGAACUGCGUCUGAUACUGGAUGGCUUGAAUCCGGGACAGGGAUGCAGAAUUCCAGGUGUAGCGGUGAAAUGCGUAGAUAUCUGGAGGAACACCAGAGGCGAAGGCGGGUUACUGGGCUGAUACUGACGCUGAAUCACGAAAGCUAGGGGAGCAAACGGG
rnacentral:rRNA from 1 species